UCCCUGGUGGUCUAGUGGUUAAGAUUUGGUACUUUCACUGCUGUAUCCUGGGUUCAAUCCCCAGUCUGGGAA